GACGUAGGGCGCGAGCGUUUGUCCGGAUUUAUUGGGCGUAAAGAGCUCGUAGGCGGCUUGUCGCGUCGACUGUGAAAUCCCGCGGCUCAACUGCGGGUCUGCAGUCGAUACGGGCAGGCUAGAGUUCGGUAGGGGAGACUGGAAUUCCUGGUGUAGCGGUGAAAUGCGCAGAUAUCAGGAGGAACACCGGUGGCGAAGGCGGGUCUCUGGGCCGAUACUGACGCUGAGGAGCGAAAGCGUGGGGAGCGAACAGG
rnacentral:rRNA from 1 species